GUGCACAAGUAGUGCACCGCCUACUUGGUAAUGUCGCCCUCUAGUGGAGAUAAAAAGGCUUCCAGCAGCUUGUCAGUGUGUCAGCUGGUGUUUUUGUUCCCACUCUGUGUUUCCUGUCACUGUUUGUUUCAUUAGUUUCUUCCAGGCUGGAAUAAUGUCAUUCAUUAUCAUCAGCUUGAUCCAAAUAGCUCUGUAAAAAUCCUCCAGCUGAUUCAAAAUGCUGCAGAGAGAGCAAUGAUGGGAAUCAGCCAGAGAGAUCAUAUUACUCCACUUUAAACUUCUCUUCUUUAGCUCCCUGUAAAAUCCAGAAUAGAAUUUAAAUCCUCCUCCUUCCAUCCAAGGCCCUUAAAGGCGUCGCUCCAUCUGAUCUCAGACCUCAUAGAACCAUAUCAGCCCAGGAAAGUUCUAUCUUCCUGCUGGUUCCUAGAGGUUCUAAAAGUAGAAUGGGAGGUAGAACCUUCAGCUAUCAGGCUCCUCUCCUGUGGAACCAGCUCCCAGUUUGGGUUCUGGAGGCAGACACAGUCUCUACGUUUAAGGUCAGGACUAAGACUUUCCUUUUAGACAAAGCUUAUAGUUAGAGCUGGACUUAACCAUCCCUUAGUGAUGCUGCUAUAGGCCGAGGCUGCAGGGGGACGAUGCACUGAGGACUGAAUUGAAUUGAAUUAUCAUUCGACCUGGGUAAGUUAUAUACGCUGUGGUGAAAUCUUCAUGUGGUAAUUACUGGCACCGUUAGUGGCGUUAUUCAUCUGUUAGACGCUUAUCAGCGUACUUUGUUUAUCAGGAAUGUGUAUUAUCGAUCGUGUUAUUAUGUUGAUAUUUCUUUAUUGAAAUUAAUAUUAUAUACAGUAUGUUCGCUGCCGUAUUUUCUGUUUAAAAAGUAUACAUAUCAUUCAUUUCAGUUCAUGUUUCUCUUUAAUUAUUCUAUGUAGAAACCAUAAUCAACAAGCAUCAGAAAAUAAACGAGUGCAUGGUCGUCAAAGAGUGAGGUCAUCAUUAGCAUCAUCAGAUGCCAUUCUGGUCACACCUGUUCACACCCUGUGGAGAUUGUAGAUAUAUAGAAUCAUAACAGUCCAUCACUUCAUUCAGAGAUCUUAUUCCAGUACCUCCUUUACACUACCUGAUAACAAAGCUGUUCAAAACACUUCCUGUUGUUUCAAACCAUAUCACAUCUUGUCUUUGCUGUAAUCAACAUGGCCAAUAUACGGCUGUAUUCUGGUUAUCUGCUUAAAUGAAUAGUUUGAAUGUACAUUGACAUAUGAGCUGAGAGUUGAACUAUACAACACAGGAAGGAGGAAGUGUGAACAUGAUGCUGCUGCAGUUUUCUGAGUUGAGUUGGGCCACCUCCAUGGUUGCUCAUAUGCACAUGCCCAUACGUUGCCUGAACCAGUCUGAACCAGUUUUAAUGACUUUCUGCUGGACGUGUGCAUCCGUUGGACAGUUUGUGGGUGGAAAAGUGUGGAUUUUAACCUGGUUUGUCACAGGUGUUCAGACACUUGUGGAAGCUGACAAUAGUUUUCUCCAGCAGGUAUAAGCUCAGAGUUUUUACUUUCAUCAGUUUAAAUCAUGUUAGUGAAGUCUGACUUUUUUACUGCAUGUCUGCUGCUGCUAAAUUGCUCAGUAUUGUAACUCCCACAGGUGUCCACUGGAGACCAACGUCAAGGCUGCUGCAGCUUGGGUAUAAAAAUCAUUAUAAUGACACGUGAAGUGAAAGGAACGCAGCAACCAGAAAAGGACAGGAGCAGACACUGAUGAUACUGAGGUUCAGUCUGCAGUCAUUCAUGAUUCUCUCUUUAUCUUUUCUACUUGUUUUUGUUUGUUCAGUAACUUGUUAAACCCUAACGCUGCAGUAUUACAGUAAUGUCCAAUGGUAGAUAGUUUGGCUGCUGGCAUGACACUGUUUGUGUCGUACUGUGGUUGUCACAUAGAAGUUAAUGUUGCAUUUCAUGCUCUGUCAGACAUCAGGCUUUUUAUAUUUCUGCACCUUUUACAGAAUAAGAAAGAAGACUUGGUAAGUAAUAGUAACUGCAGGAAAAAGACAAUAUUUCAGCCCCUUUGUCACUCUUCACACGACAUUGUUGUGUAUUGAUGUGCUGAAGAAAGAAAUGAUCACUGCUGACAAGUCUUCUCUUGCAUUUAAAAAAGCUUUAUUACAAGAAAGAACAUUGUCAAAAACUCUUGCUGAAUCUGAGAGAGCUUCCAGCCAAUCAUUGAAUCCCCUCUUUCAGCUCCAACAGAAGCCCUGUUCCCAAACAAAGAAACCUUAUCUCACGUCUAGUUAGUUUUAUGAGCUGACAUCUGGAAAAUAACCUUUCAACUUUGUCCACGCACCCAAAAACAGGGACAGAAGAGAAAAACAACAAGAAGACCAUAUACUGCAAAUCACCCUCCUCUUCACCAGUUCUACUUCUAAACUAUUGAAUCUCUUCUUAGCUAUUACUUCACUUUUGCUGCUGUUGCUUCAUAUUAUUCAUCUGUUCUUCUUCCUCAGGACACUGACUCUUUGCCACCAGUGUUUCAAGGUGCAUCUGUUUCCAUCCUCUGGGCCCUACAACAUAAUGAACAUGCUGUGUGAGACCAGAUGUGGCACAGCCUGUUAGUAUGUAUAAGACUGAGUUGUCUUUACUGGAAUUGAAAGAAAAAGAGUCCAGAACAAUAUACUUUUUCUUUUUUUUCUUUUUUAACCUGUGUUGGAUCUCCAAUUCUCAAAAAAGAAAAAGAAAAAAAUCAGUGCAACAAUGGAACAUGAUACAUUUUCAUACUGGCAAGUGUUUCUAUUCCUUAAAAUACACACUGAUGCCAAACGUGCACAGGAAACCACGUACUUGAUGUCACGACCAGACAAGGACACAGGACACAGAUGCAGGAAAUGGUUUAAACAGUUUAAACAGUUUUUAAUAAGGUUCAGGUACAAAAACUCAAGGCAAGGAAGAUAAAGUCAGCUCUAAAAAACUGCCUCUGAAAAACCACUUCUAGGAAAAUCUAAACUAAAAAUCUAACUAAACUAAAGUAAAAGGGCCGAAGUCAAUAACAAGGAAAUAUACAUGAAAAAACUUACAGAAGGAAGAACUCUCUUUAGAAUCAUAACAGGGCACCAUCCAAAUAGCAACCCUAGCAAGGCUAAGGUGAACACACAAGACUAACACGAACACUCUGGCACAAGACAAGGGAGUCCCAGACUAUUUGAACACAUGGAGGUGAUGGGGAACGGGUGGAAGUAACCAGGGAUCAGGGAAGACGAUCAGACCGGUGACACAUGAGGAAGGACAAGUGACCUGAAACAAGAGGAGAGUUACUCUUCAUAAUAAAACAGGAAGUGACGAGACAAAACAUGGAGAAAGGACAAAAACCCAAGAUGACCUCACCGCGGUGUGACACUCGGUUUGUUUGUUUUUUACAAAUAUGGCAUUAAUCAAGAAUAAUUGUGUUCGGGGAAUCUAGGAGUAUAUGACACUAAAGGAAUAAUUCUAAGUUUAUUCAAAAAAAAAUAAAAAAAUCUAAAAAAAAUGCAUUUGGUGAAGAUAGAAAUACAUGGAAUUCAAUCAAGAGGUUCUUUAUUAGCCUCACAGUAUUAUCCUCACAAGGAGAACAAGAAGAUCAAGUUGGUAGAACUCUUGACAAAACUUAAAAAUCUUAGUUCAGUCAACAACAGCGAAAGUUGAGAAAACUCAAAUCUCUUGCAUCAUGUUGCUUUGAAUUUUUACAUUUUCUCAAUGUUUUCUUUUGUCCUACAUGAAGGUAGAACAAUCUCCAUAUUUAUGUGGUGAAAACAAAGGAGAUGGUGGUGGACUUCAGGAGAGGUGACCACAUUCACUCUCCCCUUCACAUUAAGGGAGAAGCUGUAGAGCCUCUUUCCAGGAGCUGAGAGACUCAUGAACAAUAUGACAAAGACCAUCUACUGCUCUAUGCUCUUUCUUUAUAUCUGUCUUUAUAUUUUAUAUUCUUUAUGUUUGUGUGCUCCUGAACCAGAGAAACUAGUAGUGUUUGUAUGUGAAUCAUUUGACAAUGACAAUAAAGAACCUUGAACACCUGA